CAGGUGUUUAAAGGACUUAAGGACUCAACAGAGGUCAGUCACAUGGACCCACACACACAAACACAGACAUGUGGACAAUGUGGCUUUCUCACCUUUGAGGUCAUUGAGGUCCUGAUGUAGCUGAAUAACAACGAGUUGGUCAGCAGUUUGUCGGCAAAACACUCCUUCAGCCGUCAUCAGCGUGACAGAGCUACCGGAGCUGUUUUUCCCACAGGCGCCUCUAUGAUUUCUAGACGCUCUCAGCUUUUUCACAGAGAAACCGACAAUACACACACGACAACUAAAGGCACAAGCAGACAUGAGAGACAAAGGCUUGGGACCGGUACUGAGAGUUAAGUCUUUAGCGGCUGGGUUAGCUCCCUGCCCGGACAAUAAGAGCUUGGGAUACUGCCGCUGGACCACCUGGGGGCCUUUCAAAUUCUAUUAUAUAUUGUAAUUACUCCAUAUAUAUAAUUUAUGGUGUUUUUGGAGCAAAAGGUAUUGAUUUGUUUUUUUGUCCUUGUACAGUGAGAGCAUUAGGACAUUCUUGUCUGGUAAUAGAGAUGAAUAA